rnacentral:misc_RNA from 1 species
CCGAGUUAGGGUGCUGAAAAAACGCGCCCGACCUCCAACCCUUUGCUUACUUGACCCUUUGUUGCUUCGGCAGGCCCGUCUUCGUGACCGCCGGGAGUCUCUGACGACUCUUGGUCCGCGCCUGCCGACGGCCCCAAUUAAACCCUUGCUUAAACGUGUCGUCUAAGUGAUUGUUAAAAAACAAAUAAUCAA